rnacentral:lncRNA from 1 species
GUUUAAAGCUAGGGCUUAAGAUUUGGAGGAUGUGUGUGGCCAAACGGAAGGCGAACCGGGGGAAGAAAAGCCGAAAUGGAUUCACUCUUCUGUCCUGGCUGGAGGAGGAGGAGAAGAGAGGAAGAAGGGAAUGUACAAGCUUGCGUCCACGGCUGCCUCUGUCCGGUGAAAAGUGCUGAACCCCCUCCCCCACCCCCCCAAUGGAUGAAUGGGACUCAGGAGUCCAGGCGGACUUUCGCUUUAUCCUGCCAAUCAAACGGCUUUCCAGACAACACCCUGAUCUAGCAUGGACAU